UCGGAAAUGAUGCAUUAAAACCACCUGACCUCCACUGAUGGUUUUUGUAUUCAUACUGUCUGAUCUGA
rfam:Poecilia formosa, whole genome shotgun sequence.